rnacentral:rRNA from 1 species
GAUGAACGCUGGCGGCGUGCUUAACACAUGCAAGUCGAACGAAGCACCUUAUUCUGGUUUCUUCGGAAUGAAAAAUUUGGUGACUGAGUGGCGGACGGGUAAGUAACGCGUGGGUAACCUGCCUCAUACAGGGGGAUAACAGUUAGAAAUGACUGCUAAUACCGCAUAAGACCACAGCACCGCAUAGUGCAGGGGUAAAAACUCCGGUGGUAUGAGAUGGACCCGCGUCUGAUUAGGUAGUUGGUGGGGUAACGGCCUACCAAGCCGACGAUCAGUAGCCGACCUGAGAGGGUGACCGGCCACAUUGGGACUGAGACACGGCCCAAACUCCUACGGGAGGCAGCAGUGGGGAAUAUUGCACAAUGGGGGAAACCCUGAUGCAGCGACGCCGCGUGAGUGAUGAAGUAUUUCGGUAUGUAAAGCUCUAUCAGCAGGGAAGAAAAUGACGGUACCUGACUAAGAAGCACCGGCUAAAUACGUGCCAGCCGCCGCUGUAACAC